AACUCUUUUAAGCAACAACUUACUGAAUUUUAAACAAGUUAAAGAUUAAGCUCUAAAGCUACUCAAACUAAUAAAGAAUGAAAUGACAUUGUGUCAGCAAUACAUUUUGGGUGUUUGUAUGUGUAAAUGGAUAAAGAGGUUGGACAAUAAUAGUACCAGUCUUCGUUGGUGGGUAGCGAAACUCAUCGAACCUCCGGUGUGAAGCGAGCCUCCCAUUUCAAAGGCUCAAUUUGCCUUUCCCCAUUCCCUCUUUGCCUUAUAUUUAGGAGUGUACCAUAAUAUCAAGAACUUAGCCCAUACUUCAUCAUUCACCCAACUAGGUUGUACCAAUUUCCUCCGGGCCUCAUACAAGUGUUCUUGGAUCCGUAGAGCUGUUUUCGACCAAAAAAUACGGUCUAUUUCAUUACCAUGACAGUUACUCCAUGUACACUUUGUCUGCAAAAUAGUUUAAUAUAAAGUCAUUUACAAUGGAAAAACUAUCUUUAGGCAAUGAGAUUCAUAGCUUAUAAAACUGCUUAUACCAUAAACUAUUUCCACAUGUCAAUUCUAAUUUCUCAUGGAAUCUCUAACAAACUAUUCCACGGCUCUUUGAAAAAUUGUUUAAUUACUUCUAUAACCAUAUGCUCGGUGGCAUAUGUUAGAAUGAACCUACGAUAAAAUUAUAUCAAACCAUCAUCUUAGCUUUUAAAAAUUAAGGGAAAACUUAAGGGUUACUUACCCAUCACAAUAAAGGACGAUUUGUAAACUCCCAAACUUGUCAUAUUCUAAUACCUCUUUAAAUUGCAGAUUUUGAGAAGCAGCUGCUGUAGAAUUAGUCGUUGUAGCACUAUCAAUGGAUGGUGAUGUUGGUGUGUUAGGACCUCUAAUUCUUAAUCCAGAAAGGCUUGGUGUGGAUGAUGUUGAAGCCAAAGAUGAAGAGCUACUAUGUAGACUAUUUUAGGAUGAAGAGGUGUGGAAUUGGUCAAAAUGUAGAGGCAUGAAAAAUAUAUUUGGUAGUGAAAUAGUUGAUUCAGGAGGGGGAGAAAUAUUUGUAGUAGCUGGUUGAAGAGUUGUGGUAACAGGUGGUGGUAGUAUAUAUUGACCUGCAGGAAGAUUAUCAGGUGCUUUCUUACUUUUCUUACGUCAUCCAUUAAAAUUACCUUUUGAUGUCAUUGAUUUUCUUUACUAACCAUCUGAAAAAGAAAGAACAACAAAAGAUUCAGCUGGUGAAAAGUUGUAAAUAGAAGAAAUUGAUAUCCUUACAGAAAAUUCAGCUGGCUAAGGGAUCCAAUUAUGUUUGGUAUCAGUCCAGAAAACCCGCAACCAACGAGGAUACUACAAUGAAGGUAGGAGCAAUUACUCUCUAGAAAUAAAGAAACAAGCUGGUGAAUUAACAAUAUUUGAGCAUUAUCAUCAUGUAAUUCCCUUACAGAAUUGAUAAUGUCUUCAAACUUCCAAUUGAUUGAGGGAGUGAACCAGUCAAGCCUUUGUUGUAUGAUAGAUCACUAUAAAGGAAAUAUAGAAAUAAAAAAAUCUGAGAAAUUCAACAUUCAAGAAUAAUAUUUGUGCAUACAUUGCAUAAACACAAGCACAACAAGUUUAAUAAUAUUUCAUGCAAAGUAAAAAGCUUCGGUGCUUCAAGAUUACGUAUAAGUAAUAUUUGUUUUAUGAUCAUCUAGCAAAGGUGGCACUGGAAUAACAUAAGGAAUUCAAGUUCACGCUAGUGCUAACCCAAUAAAUUUCUUUUUUCAGUCUGUAAAAUAUAAGGGAGAUGGCAAAGAUGCUUUCGGCAUAUGAGUUAUAAGCCUUACACAAAAAUAAAAAAGUAGUGCUAAGGCUCUGCUCCAUCAAUAUUGUUAUAUUCUUCUUGUAGCUUCUUUUGUUCUUUAGCUUUAGUUUUUUAUUUUGAAUUCAUGGGGUUAGCUUUUCGUUGGGAUAUAAGUGAAAUUUUUUGUUGAAGAAAGGAUACAACUAAAAUUUUGCAGUCCACAAAAAAAGUUCAGAACCAAAUCAGAGAACAACUAAUCUGAAUAGAGAAAACGUAUAACUAGCACCAAAAAAGAGCUUUGUGCAUCAAGAAAGCAAGAAAGACAACUCAAGCAGUAACAAAUGCUCUAAUUAAAGCCCACAGAUAUUUUAACAGCAUGGAUAAUUUUGAUUCUCACAGAGGAAAACACAAAAGGAUCCCUUAUCUUUGAAGAUAGAUAUCACGGUCCAAAAAUAAGAGUCAUGAUGGCACUUGUCGCGGCGUACCUUGACAAGUAAGCCUAUCACCCAAACUGAUGCGAAAAGAGAAAAAGAGACAGAAAUAUUCCAAGGUAAGGCUUCUAGAGCGAAGUUGAACCAUAUGAGUAAUCAUAACAAUGUGGAAAGAACUUAUCCAAAAUAUAAAUCCUACCCAAAACCAGGUGUCAAUAGUGUAAGAACUACUAAUACAAUCUAAGAGUCAAAUACAUCGAAAAAAUAACCACAAAGGAAUAAUAUUUGUCUCCAAAUACUAAGAAAGACAUAACUACUAUAGAAAGAUAGAGGUGAACUUCAGACACAUAAAUGUCCAACCACUACCUUGGAAGCUCCAAUAAUUUCCCGAGUCAAGCAAACUGAGGCACACUCGAGCUAGGACCUCCACCGAAAGGGUGCAGUAGGCAUGAGUAUGGUACACUUGUACUUAGUAGGUAUCAUAGUCUGACCAAGCAAAGUAGUAAAUAAAGCAUACAAAAUACACAAUAAGGGCACGUCACCUGCAAUCAGAAAAUGUCCCGCAACGAUAGCCCACACCUCUUGCACUAAUAGUUCUAAUGUAUAUCAUAUAUAUUACAAAAACACACCAAGAUAUAGAACACAAGUAUACAUUAUGUCACAUAUAAAUAAAACAGGGGAGAAUAUGUAGCUAUAAGAUCAUCAAAUACAAAUAAAGAAAGGUAAGAUAAAUACAUAGAUGACAAGUCAAUAUGACAAUACAACACAACAUAAACUUAAUAAAGUAGGUGAAAUGUAUAUGAUGACAAUGAUGAUGAUGAUGAUGAUGGUGUACGAGGUCAUCGUACAACCUCCGAGAUCGUUUCACAAUCCCCGUAUACACCUACAGAGCUAAAGCUUCCUAAAGUAGGACCCACAGGGGGUUCAUCAACCCGUAUACAAUCCAAAUAUCUCAUAUCAAUUUUCUGGAAUAUCUUGAAAAGGGUUUUAUAAGGUGUUAAAAUAUCUCCUCCUCGUCACUGUAAUACCCCGACUUUUCUUAGCUCAGUUUAGCUCCUAGUGUGUCAAGGGACAAAUUUAAAAAUGUAUAACUCUUUAUAUAUAUGAAAUUUUUUGGUUCUAGACCCACCAAAUGGUUGAUAAUUGAAUCAGCUUUCCAACGAUACCAAUUUUGCCUCAAUAUGAUGCUCGGUUAAGAAGUUAUGGCAAUUUUAGUGAAAGCAGUAGGACACCGCGAUAAGAACCACGUCGCGGUGAAAGACAAAUUUGCAAUUGUCCAAUUUUCAGUGGAGCACUGUGAUUAGCCUGUAUCGCAGAGAAGUUCCAGUUCCCAUUCAUCCUUUUCCAAUAGCUCACCUCGACUAAUUUGUAUCGCGUUAAAAUUCCCAAUUAGACAGACACCGCAUUGCAGUGGAGUGCAAAAUGGCACUCGUCCUUUUCCAGUGACACAACGUGAUUACACCACAUCAUGCCAGAGCCCAAAAUGGCGUUCGUCCUUUUUCCAGUGGGUCACCGGGAUUGUACCGCAUCACGGUGGGGCUCAAAAUUGGGAUUUCCAGUUUUGAACUAAUUUUUACAAAGGGCAACCUAGUCAUUUCACAAGCCCCCAAUUCGUGUAAAACACAAGAUUUAACCUAUUCUAAGCAUUAUAUGCUCACUCUUCAUCAAUUUCUUUCCAAGAAACACUAAAACCUCAAAACUUAAACCCUAAGAAAUCCAAAUUCCACCAUUUUUUUUUCAAGAUAACCCAAAUUCAAGAACUUCAAAAAUCAAUCGUCAAGAGCACAAAUAAGAAUUCAAGUUCAAGCUUCUUUAUCAGUUUCACCAAUUAAGGUAUGUGGGGUUAUGAACAAGGAUAAUUCUUUCAUCCUUGUGACCAAAGUUAUUUUAAAUUUGAAUUUUGUAUGAAAUUAUAUGAAUUUCAGUUUAGGGUUUAUACCCACUUAAUUACUAUUUGAAGAUUAUGAGAUAUUGAGAGAUUUAGAUAUUGAAUUGCAUGUGUACUUUCGUAUUUUUAUGCGUAUUGCAGUAAUUUUUUGAUUUAGAAUUGAUUAUCAAUAUUUUCAUUAUCAAGCAUGAACUUUAUGAUGAUUUGACAUGAAAUAGAUGCAUGGGUUAUUAGCCCUAGUUUGAAUGUUGUUAUUUUAAGAAGAUUAUGCUUUUAAGCAUCCUAUGAUUUGUAUUUUUAGAUUUUUAUAAAGAUUUGAUCUUUUGAUCCUCGGUUAAGAUAUGGAAUCCACUUUACAAUUUUAUUACAGUUUACAAAAAAUAGCUUAACUUUGCUUACAGUUUGAAACAAAUAGAUGCAUCAUUGUUUUUUCAUUAUAAACCCUUAUGCUCGUUUUAAAAAGUGAAUUUCCAACAGAAUGAGCAUACAGAUUAAAGGGAGUAGUCACCCCAGAACUACAGCCAACAUAGGUACAGAUCAUCAGAUUAUUCUCAUUUCUAUAUGGAUGACAGAUACAGAUGUGAUCACUUAGCUUAGGUUAUACUCCUUGGCAAGAGUAUGACACCUCUCCCCAAUGUGAGAUUUUCCCAUAAAGUAAUUAGACAUUGGACACUAUGAUAGCUCCCAUAGUAUAUGUCUAUUAGAAGAACCUCCCUAAUAAUAAAGACUUACAGAACAGUUUUAGAAACUAAGUGUGAAGGCUUACAAUUUUAUUCAGAUAUUGCUUUACAUAUGACUUUAGCUAUAAAAUUUUAGAUUUGAGUUUACAGAUACAAAAGUGAGUCUUUUCUACACUUAGACAACAUGAUUUAAAGACAGAAUACCAGUACAGCUCUUAAAACUAAAUGUUAUGACUCACUAGAUUUAUGCAACAUGUCUUGCUAUUCAUGAUUAUGAUUUUUAGUUUUCACAUAUUCCAGCUUAUGUGAGUCAUCCACAUUUAGCAUUCAUUAUUUUACAAAUUUAUUAUAAUAUUAAGAUAUUAAUUCAGUUAUGCAUUCACUCCUAUAUACUUGGUACAAUCCAAAAGUACUGAUCCACAUAUACGUCUAUGUGCUAUAUUGUUUCAUAAUGUAGGUUCAAGUGCUCAGUUUCAGCAGCAUGAGUGAUUUUGAGCAUCUCUAUCAGCAUCCCGAUAGUUGGUAAGUCUACAUAGUUCAGGGACCCAGUUAUUUAGUUUUUUUAGCUUAUUAGAAUAUAUAAUUCAGUAUUUUUAGACAAUUUAAGUCAGCUGGGGGCUUGUCCCAGUGACUCUCUAGUUAUUAGUAGUAGAGGCUUAUCAGACUGCUAGAUAUGAUGCAUAUUUCCAGUAUUAUUUUUCCAGACUGUGAGUCAAAUAAUUUCUGAUAUUAUGUUUAGAUAAUUUCAGCUUAGAUCAGACAAACUUCUACAUUGAUUUUAUGAUUAUUUUUAGAAAAUCAUCUCUUUCCUUCAUGAUCUAUUGUACUUACAAUAUCUCUAUCUGCUUUUAACUCGUGCUCUUACAUGACAUUUGAAUAUGCCUCUUCAUUGUGCUAAUGCAUACAGAAAUAAUAACUAGCCACCCCAGCCUAUUGACCCUCUGAAUGAGAAUGUAUCCCUUACUGAAUUUUAAGCUGCUUUUCAGGUGUUGGACGAGGCUAUGACUGCUAAUGUUCAGGGCAACCAUCAGUCGGUAGUCCCACUUCAGUAGAAUAAGGAUUUAGUAGCUGUCAGAAUUUGUGACUUUAAGAGAAUGAAGUCGCCUGAGUUCUUUAGGUCAAAAACAGGUGAGGACCCAUAACUUUACUUAGAUAAGGUGAGGAAGACCACCCAGAUUAUGCAUAUUUCUAAAGAGGAGAGUGUAGAUUUGGUAUCCUAUAGGUUGAGAGAUGUAGCAUAUGAUUGGGUGGUUAUGUAGAAGAAUGGUAGAGAUGAGAAUGCAGCUCCUAUGAGUUAGCAGGUAUUUCGGGAUGCAUUUCCAUACAGGUUCUUUUCGUGUGAGAUGAGAGAAGCUAAGGUAGAGGAGUUUAUGAACCUGAGGCAGGGCUUGAUGGUAGUAAAUGAGUACUACCUUAAGUUUAACCAGUUGUUUAAGUAUGCCCCUGAUACGAUGGAUGACCCUAGGGCAAGCAUGAGUAAGUUUGUUACUGGAGUAUCUGGUUUGGUAGUUAAGGAGUGUAGGACUGCCAUGCUAAUUGAGGACAUGGAUUUUGCUAGGCUGAUGAUUUAUGCCCAGUAGACUAAGGCAGAAAAGUUGAAGAAAAGAGAGAGAGGAAAUAAAAAGGCUAGAACCGGGUAGUUUGAGUAUGGCCAGACAAAGUUUGGAGGGGGAAAUUAUUUGCAGUUUCAGAAUCAUUCAUCUAUGCUAGCUCCAUCUUCAUAUAGCGCUCUCACUCCCAGAACUAGGCAAGAGGAGUGAAGUAAGACAUUUAUGUCCAGAUCUCAGAAUAGUGAGAGUGGAAAACCGAGUUAUCCUCCACGUGCUAAGUAUGGUAAGAAUCAUAUUGGUGAGUACUUGUUGGGACAGAAAGGUUGUUAUGGUUGUGAUAAGCUGGGUCAUGGAAUCAAAGAGUGUCUGCAUGCUAAGCAGGAAAACAGGGAUGUUCAUCCCCAGAAUGAGGCUACUAGCAUACCAGCUCCUCUAGGUUGCGUAGUCUCUUUUCGUGGUGUAUCAUCCAGAACCAGUGGCGGUUAGUGCCAGAAUCAGUUUUAUGCUUUACCAUCCCAUCAGAAGCAGGAGGAUUCACCAAAUGUUAUUACUGGUAUGCUUCGUGGCUUUCAUCUUGAUGUUUAUAUGUUGCUAGAACCCGAAUUGAAUUUCUCUUAUGUGAUCCCACUAGUUGCAAUAAGUUUUGAAGUAGGUCCUGAAAAGAUCCCAAAUCCCUUUUUAGUUUUUGCCCCAGUGGGUGAGUCAGUUAUUGCCAGGCAGAUCUAUAGAAAGUGUCUUAUUAUUGUCCUUAAAAUCGUGUUUCCUGACUUAAUAGAGUUAGAUAUGGUUGACUUUGACCUUAUUCUUAGUAUGGAUUGGCUCCAUUCCUGUUAUGCAUCCAUAGAUUGUCACACCCGAGUGGUAAAGUUUUAGUUUCCAGAUGAGCCAGCCUUUGAGUGGGAAGGUAAUUCAGUGUCUUCCAAGAGUCAUUUUAUAUUCUAUCUUAAAGACACAAAUUUGAUCUCAAAAGGGUGUAUCUAUCAUCUAGUUUGAGUUAAAGACACCAAGUUUGAGACUCCAACAGUUCAGUCAGUUUGUAUAGUCAAUGAGUUUCCUGAGGUUUUUCCCAAAGAUUUGCUAGGGGUACCUCCCAAUAGGGAAAUAGAAUUCGGUAUUGACUUUCUUCCCAAUACUCAUCCCAUUUCCAUUCUUCCAUAUCGAAUGGCUCCAGCUGAUAUUAAAGAUUUAAAAGAGUAGCUUAACGACCUUUUAUAUAAAGGUUUGAUAAGGCCAAGUGUCUCUACAUGGGGUACUCCCAUCCUAUUUGUGCAAGAGAAAGAUGGUUCUUUGUGAAUGUGCAUUGACUAUUGUCAGCUUAAUAAAGUCACAAUCAAAAACAAAUAUCCUCUUCCUAGGAUUGAUGAAUUAUUUGACCAACUCCAACGUGCAAGUUACUUCUCCAAGAUAGACCUUAGAUUCGGCUAUCAUCAGCCUAGAGUAAGGUAAUGUGAUAUUCUAAAGGCAGCUUUCAGAACCCGUUAUGGUCAUUUUAAGUUUCUAGUCAUGUCCUUCAAGCUAACAAAUGCCUCAGUAGCCUUCAUGGACUUGAUGAACAUAGUGCUCAAACAGUAUCUGGACAUGUUUGUCAUAGUCUUUAUCGAUGAUAUUCUUAUUUAUUCUCGUAGUGAGGGUGACCAUACAGACCAUCUUAGAAUUAUGUUGCAAACUCUUAGAGAUCACCAGUUGUUUACCGAAUUCAGCAAAUGCAAAUUUUGGCUAAGAUUAGUAGCUUUCCUCGGUCAUGUUAUUUCUAGUGAUGGCAUUAGAGUUGAUCUCCAAAAGAGAGAAGCAGUAAAAAAAUGUCCUAGACCUAUCUCUCCAUCAGACAUCAGAAGUUUCUUGGGUUUUUUCCGCUAUUACAGAUGUUUCAUUACGGGUUUUUCUUCUAUUAUAUCCCCUAUGUCUAGAUUGACUCAGAAGAAAGUUAAGUUUCAGUGGUCAGAUUCCUGUGAGGAGUUUUCAGGAGUUGAAGACUCGACUCACUUCAGCCCCAGUUUUAGUGCUACCUGAUGGUAUAGAUGGUUUCGUUGUCUAUUGUGAUACUUAUAUAAUCGUUUUGGGUUGUGUUUUGAUGUAAAGAGGUAAGGUUAUAGCCUAUGCCUCUAGAUAGCUUAAGCCUUACGAAAAAAACUACCCUACCCAUGAUCUUGAGUUAGCUGUUGUUGUGUUUGCUUUGAAAAUCUGGAGGCAUUAUCUUUAUGGGGUAUAUUUUGAUGUGCUCAUGGAUCACAAAAUCUUGCAAUAUGUGUUUACUCAGAGGGAUUUAAAUCUUUGUCGGAGAAGAUGGUUAGAGUUGUUGAAAGAUUAUGACAUGAGUGUGCUAUAUCAUUCGGGCAAAGCCAAUGUAGUGGCAGACACCCUUAGUAGAUUGUCUUUGGUUAGUGUUGCUCAUGUAGAGAAUGAUAAGAGGGAACUAAUUCAGAAAGUUCACCGGUUAUCUAGAUUGGGUGUGAGGUUGGUUGACUCAGCUGAAGGGAGUAUUUGGGUUCAGAGCAGUUCAGAAUCUUCUCUAGUUUCUGAAGUGAAAGAGAAGUAGGAUAAGGAUUCUAGUUUGGUCAAACUGAAGGGUACGGUUAAAGACCAAAAGAUAAAGGUUUUCUCCCAAAGGGGAUAUGGUGUGUUGAGAUACCAGAGUAGAUUAUGUGUGCUAUGUGUUGACGAUUUGAGGCAGCGAAUUAUGGCAGAAGCGCAUGGUGUACGUUACUCUAUUUAUCCAGGAGCCACUAAGAUAUACCGUGAUCUGUGGGAAGUCUAUUAGUAGAGUGGUAUGAAGAAAGAUAUCAUCGAAUUUGUAGCCAAGUGUGUGCCUUUUCAACAGGUUAAGGUAGAGCACCAACGACCUGGUAGCACUUUACAGUAGUUUGGUUUCCCACUUAGAAGUGGGAAUAGGUGAAUAUGGACUUUGUGACUAGAUUACCCCAUUCGCAUUGUCAGAAUGAUUCGAUUUGGGUUAUUACAGACAGAUUGACCAAAUUAGCCCAUUUCAUGCCAGCUUGCACAUCCUACAUAGCUGAAGAUUAUGCUAAGAUGUAUAUCAGAGAGUAAGUUAGAUUGCAUGGAGUUCCCUUGUCCAUCAUUUCAGAUAGGGGUACUCAGUUUAACUCUCAGUUUUGGAAAGCCUUUCAGAAGGGUCUUGGUACCUAAGUUCAUCUCAGUUCAACUUUUCAUCUGUAGACAGAUGGUCAGGUAGAGAGGACCAUUUAGACCUUAGAAGAUAUGUUGAAAGCAUAUGUUCUUGAUUUCAAAGGCAGUUGGGAUGACCACUUGCCAUUGACCAAGUUUUCCUACAAUAUUAGUUACCAUUAUAGUAUUUAAAUGGCCCCGUUUAAGGUUCUGUAUGGGCGGAGAUGUAGAUCACCAGUUAGUUGGUUCAAAGUGGGUGAGGACACUUUGAUUGGGCCAGAUAUGGUGUUUGCAGCCAUGGAGAAAGUUUAGUUGAUUCGAGAGAUAUAGAAGGUAGCUCUGAGUCGUCAAAAAUCGUAUGCAGACGUAAGAAAGAGAGAUCUUGAGUUUGAAGUAGAUGAUCUUGUGUAUUUAAAAUUUUUACCCAUAAAGGGGGUGAAGAUAUUUGGCAAAAAUGGGAAGCUUAGUCCCCGAUAUAUAGGCCCCUACAGGAUUUUGAGUCGUGUANNNNNNNNNNAGCUUGAGCUACCUGCAGACUUGUCAUCAGUUCAUCCAGUAUUCCAUGUGUCCUUAUUAAAAAAGUGCAUGGAUGAUUCAUCUAUUGUAGUCACUCUAGAAAGCCAGAUAUUCAGAAUAGCCUUUCAUACGAUGAAGUUCCGGUAGAGAUUCUUGAUUAUCAGACCCAUAGACUAAGGAAUAAAGAAGUUUCCCUGGUCGAAGUUCUGUGGCGAAAUCAGUCCAUUGAGGGUGCUACUUAGGAAGCAGAAGCACACAUGCAUACCAAGUAUCCUCAUCUCUUCUCCACGAACUCAGAUUCAGUCGAAGGUAACAGUCCUCCUUAAUUCAGUUCUUUUUUCCAGCCUCAAAUUCAUCUAUAUAGUUAUCUUCAUGUAAAUUCAUACACUCGCAAAUUAGUUCAGUUACUCAGUAUAUAUUAGAUUCAGUCAUGCAGUUUAUUUCAAUUGUGCAUGCCAGCAUAUAGCCUCAGUUCCUCAGUAUCUUCAAUUUAAUUAGUCUCAUUCGAGGACGAAUGUUUUCAAGGGGGAGAUAUUGUAAUGCCCCACAUUUUUCCUAGCUCAGUUUAGCUCCUAGUGUGUCAAGAGACAACUUUGAAAAGGUAUAACACUUGAUACAUGUGGAAUUUUCUAGUUCUAGACCCACCAAAUGGUAGAUAAUUGAAUCAGCUUUCCAACGAUACCAAUUUCGCCUCAAUCCGAUACUCGAUUAAGAAGUUAUGGCAAUUUUAAUGAAAGUAGUAGGACACCGCGAAUAGCCCGCGUUGUAGAGAAGUUCUAGUUCCCAUUUGUAUUUUUCCAGUAUCUCACCACAAUUAGCUUGUUUUGCAUUAAAAUUCCCAAUUGGACAGACACCACGUCGCAGUGGAGUGCAAAAUGACACUCAUCCUUUUUCAGAGCCAGAGCCAAAAAUGGCGUUCGUCCUUUUUCAAAUGAGCCACCACAUUUGUAAUGCAUCGCGGUGGGGAUCAAAAUUGGAAUUUUCAGUUCUGGACUAAUUUUUACAAAGACAACCUAGUUAUUUCUUAAGCCCCCAAUUCAUGUAAAACAAAAGAUUUAACCUAUUCUAAGCAUUAUAUACUCACUCUUCAUCAAAUUUCUCUUCAAGAAAACCUAGAACCUCAAUACUUAAACCCCAAGAAAUCUAAAUUCCACCAUUCUUUUUCCAAGAUAACCCAAAAUUUAAGAUUCCCAAUUCAAGAACUUCAAGAAUCAAUCUUUAAGAGCACAAAUAGGAAUUCAAGUUCAAGCUUCUUUAUCAGCUUCACCAAUUAAGGUAUGUGGGGUUAUGAACAAGGAUAAUUCUUUCAUCCUUGUGCCUAAAGUUAUUUUAAAGUUGAAUUUUGAAUGAAAUUAUAUGAAUUUCAGUUUAGGGUUUAUACCCACUUAAUUACUAUUUGAAGAUUAUGAGAUUUUGAGAGAUUUAGAUGUUGAAUUGCAUGUCUACUUUCAUAUUUUUAUGCGUAUUGCAGUAAUUUCUAGAUUUAGAAUUGAAUUAUCAAUAUUUUCAUUAUCAAGCAUGAACUUUAUGAUGAUUUGACAUAAAAUAGAUGCAUGGGUUACUACCCCUAGUUUGAAUGUUGUUAUUUCAAGAAGAUUAUGCUUUUAAGCAUCCCACGAUUUGUAUUUUCAGAUUUUUAUAAAGAUUUGAUCUUUCGAUCCUCAGUUAAGAUAUGGAAUCCACUUUACAGUUUUAUUACAGUUUACAAAAAACAAAUUAACCUUGCUUACAGUUUGAAACAGAUAGAUGCAUAAUUGAUUUUUCAUUAUAAACCCUUAUGCUAGUUUUAAAAAGUGGAUUUCCAACAGAAUGAGCAUACAGAUUAAAGGGUGUAGUAUUUAGCACCGAGGUUUACAUGUUCCAAAACAAUAGUCAAUGUAGGUACAGAUUAUCAGAUUAUUCUCAUUUCUACAUGGAUGACAUAUACAAAUGUGAUCACUUAGAUUAGGUUAUACUCCUUGGCAAGAGAAUGACGCCUCUCCCCAACGUGAGGUUUUCCCAUAAGGGGACUAGACGUUGGACACUAUGAUAGCUCACAUAGUGUAUGUCGGUUAGAAGAACCUCCAUGAUAGUAAAUACUUGCAGAACAGUUUAGAAACUAAUUGUAAAGGCUCACAGUUUUAUUCAGAUAUUAUUUUGAAUACGAUAUUAGCUAUGAGAUUUUAUAUUUCAGUUUACAGAUAUAGAAGUGAGUCCUUUCUAUACUUAGACAGCAUGAUUUAAAUAAGGAAUACCAGUACAACUUUUAGAAACUAUAUGUUAUGACUCACUAGAUUUAUGCAGCAUGUUUUACUAUUCAUGAUUAUGAUUUUCAGUUUUCAGAUAUUCCAACUUAUGUGAGUCAUCUAUAUUUAGCAUGCAUUAUUUUACAAAUUUAUAAUAAUAUUGAGAUAUUGAUUCACUUGUGCAUUCCCCCCCAAAUAGGUGUUAGUCUAGCUUUCCAAGCUCCCACAAGCUUAACUUUUAAGCCCCCGCACUAUUUUGGGGUUAAACUCUCAAGAGGCAAGAUGAAAAAUGAGCAAAAUAGUUCAAAAAGAGUGAAAAAAUUGUAUUUAUUGCAGAUUUUCUGCAACAUUUAGUGCAGAUUUUUUUCCCUUGAGUCGAAACGGACUUCAAUAGGGUGCCCAAAAUUCGUUCAGAGUGCGAUAUACACAAACGAACUAUGCAACCACACUAAAUUCAAUAUUUCAAACGCUAUGGCAAUAUCAUAUUUUCAAAAAAAAAUCAUUUUCACAAAGUUGACCCCCGAAACUCGAAAUCAUAAUUUUCUAAAUCUGGGGUUGAAAUGAGAUUUAAAAGCCGUAAAAUCAUACCAAACACGCUAACACCCUACAAUCAAUAUUUCGGAUCUGUUGACAAAGUCGAAUUUUUCAUCCGAGGUCAUUUCGAUCAAAUAUGGGUCCCACACUCAUAUUUUCAAUUUUCCAACUUUCCUAUCAAUAGGUCAAAAUGAGCUUGUGUGUAUCGGGACCCGAACCAAAGGUCUACCUAGCCUAAAAUCAAUAUUCUGAAGCUGCUGGCACAGUCCGUUUGGCCAUCCGUUGCAUGGAUAAAAAAAUAUCCUCAUAAUUCUAAAAUAACGCUCUUAAAGCCAUCAAAAACCAUAAUAUCGCAUAAAUGAUAUCAAAAGGCAUCGAAAAAUAUGUCAAUCACUCUCACUUCUCAGAAAUACCAUAAUGCAACUACGGAGAGGGAUAAACUAGUGAAAUCAGACAAAAUCACAAAUUUCACAUAAUUCAUCAAAUUUUUGGGUUGUUACAAUAGAACUAAUACAAUUUUUUAUGUAUAAUAUGGAGCAGUAAUAGUCCCUCAGAAAAGUAAACGAGAUUGGUAACAUAGUAUAUGAUAGGCUCACACUGCUAGUCAUGUAUGCAAGGACAGUUAUCCUGUUAUUUUUGUGAUCAAACUAACAGCUGAAAAUGGGGUCCUUCAUUUUGAAAAAAGAUUAAAUGUAACAGCCUGUAUAAUCAUUCAAAUAAGCUUUACUAUUAUUCAAAGCAUUUUAUUCAUCUUCAAAAUUGAGGGCGCCCUUCUUGUUCACUUACUCCAUAUUUUUUUAAUAGAUGUGCCUAGGUGAUCGGGUCAAUUUCCACACACCUCAAUUAUGUAUUAAUCACCUAAUGCAUAUUAUCUCCCACUAGCACAAGUAGCCGAUAACUUUGUUAAACAGAGGGAAAAAAUCACCCUGUGUUAACUAAAAUCUAAGCAUUGGUCUACAAUGAUUUUCACUCACUAAACCCUAGGCCAGUCCUGAGAUGUUUACUCUUACAUUUUCUAAUCUGAUAUAGCUAUCACUAUUUUCCUUAGCUCAUCACUUGUCACUAAUAUAGUACGGUAGAAAUUAGGGUCGAAGGUUAGUUGAUAGUCGAGAGUUGUCUAAUUUCCUAUCAAUUUUGUUAUUGUUACUCUCUUACUAUCUUUCUCUAAUUCUAGUAGUACAUGUUGUUUCUUUUACUUCCAUUAUCAGAUUAUAUGUUGUUGCUACUUGAUCCCUUCCACUUUUUGACCACUGCAAUUGAAAAAUAACCAUUGUUUUAAAGUUUUAUCUGUGAAAUUUGGUUAACAAUAAAACUAGGCCCCAAAGGUGAGAACAAUUCACUACAUGGAAGGCAUGUCUAAUACUUGAAAAUUACAAAUUGGAUUGCAAAAGAGACUAUUCAGCUCCUAAAAGGACAUGACUUUGUGACUCUCCUAGCCUCUCACAAAAUAAUUGUCCUAUCUUUCUUAUCUUUCAGGAUAGAAGAUUCCAUUGACAACCUCUAUUCGUGUCCUUAAAUCGAUUGUAAUCUCCAACAGUUAAACUAAAUUUUUUUUAUAGAUAUCACUUUCCAUUGUAUAGAAUUGCUGCAUCAUAAUGGUAGAUUCCACUUUCAUUACGCUGACACAGAGAUUUCGACCAGCAGAAAUCCUAUGGUUACAACCAGUUCAAUAGUCAUCAAGAAAAUAUCUCUAGAAGCGGCAAAUCAAAAUGAGAAAUAGAAUAAAACAGUCAUAUGGAUAUAGGACCUUCCACCAUCCGAAAGAUUAGUUUUCACUACUCUAAGGCGCGUGGCAAUUUAUUGGCAAAAAUUAAUAUGCAGCAGUGCUUGUCAAUUGCCAUAAGAAAUCCAACAGAGGGAUAUGCAACCUGUUAGCAUCUACUAAGCAUGAAUUGAAUAACAACAGUUCUAGAAUGAGCAAAGAAAAUGAAUAUUUACCCCCCAGAUACCUGAAUCCCCUGAUUAUUGAUACCUCAAUAGUCGAAAACAAACAGUCCUCAUCUUCUCUAAUUUGCCUUAAUUCCCCAACCUUCAAACUUACACUUCCAAAGUACCUAAUAAACUCACACCAAGCACUAAUCUUCUGUAAACUACUCAAGUUCUUCUUAUUUUGCGGAAAACAAACCACAUUGCUUUAAAAAACAACUAAUUUUUAUUGCUAACUAAUCCUACGACAACAUAAACUUCUAAAUCAACAAGAAAUCCAAUUCUUAUGUAUGCUAACAAGAGCUGACAACAACCCAACCAAAUUGAUCAACAAAUUCCAAUAUUACUCUUCUCUAUUCUCUUCUUCUCCUCUAGCCCCCCCAAACCUUGUAUAUAAAUGUGUUUGGUACGAUGAUAGCUUUUCAUACAUGAUAUAAAAAGCUCAUAAUAUAGUUAUAGUUGUGUCAAAUGAGUGGAUUAACACUGAAUUUGGAUGAGUUAAAAUAGAAUAGUAGUAAAUAGAUACCUCGGUUAUCAAGAUAAAUUGUAGAAUAAAAGACUUGUUGGUGAUUAAGAUAUCUUACAACAGUAGGCCUCUUGAAUGAACCAACUUUUAUUCUUCCACACAAAUCCUCACAAUCUUC
rnacentral:lncRNA from 1 species